rnacentral:rRNA from 1 species
AUUGAACGCUGGCGGCAGGCCUAACACAUGCAAGUCGAGCGAGCGGCGGACGGGUGAGUAAUGUCUGGGAAACUGCCCGAUGGAGGGGGAUAACUACUGGAAACGGUAGCUAAUACCGCCUACUACCAGAUGUGCCCAGAUGGGUUUAGCGAGUAGGUGGGGUAACGGCUCACCUAGGCGACGAUCCCUAGCUGGUCUGAGAGGAUGACCAGCCACACGGGAACUGGGACACGGCCCAGACUCCUACGGGAGGCAGCAGUGGGGAAUAUUGCACAAUGGGCGAAAGCCUGAUGCAGCCAUGCCGCGUGUGUGAAGAAGGCCUUCGGGUUGUAAAGCACUUUCAGCGGGGAGGCGUUACCCGCAGAAGAAGCACCGGCUAACUCCGUGCCAGCAGCCGCGGUAAUAC